rnacentral:rRNA from 1 species
GUGAGGUAACGGCUCACCAAGGCGACGAUGUCUAGGGGUCCUGAGAGGGUUUCCCCCCACACUGGUACUGAGACACGGACCAGACUCCUACGGGAGGCAGCAGUAAGGAAUAUUGGUCAAUGGACGCAAGUCUGAACCAGCCAUGCCGCGUGCAGGAUGACUGCCCUACGGGUUGUAAACUGCUUUUACGUGAGAAAAAACUCCCCGAUUCGUUCGGGGACUGAUGGUAUCACAUGAAUAAGCAUCGGCUAACUCCGUGCCAGCAGCCGCGGUAAUACGGAGGAUGCAAGCGUUAUCCGGAUUCAUUGGGUUUAAAGGGUGUGCAGGCGGAAUGAUAAGUCAGAGGUGAAAUCCCCCGGCUCAACCGGGGACCUGCCUUUGAUACUGUUGUUCUUGAGUAUAGUUGAAGUGGGCGGAAUGUGUCAUGUAGCGGUGAAAUGCAUAGAUAUGACACAGAACACCGAUAGCGAAGGCAGCUCACUAACCUAUAACUGACGCUCAUGCACGAAGGCGUGGGGAGCAAACAGGAUUAGAUACCCCGGUAGUCCACGCUGUAAACUAUGAUCACUAGUUGUUAGCGAUACACUGUUAGCGACUGAGGGAAACCAUUAAGUGAUCCACCUGGGGAGUACGGCCGCAAGGUUGAAACUCAAAGGAAUUGACGGGGGCCCGCACAAGCGGAGGAGCAUGUGGUUUAAUUCGAUGAUACGCGAGGAACCUUACCUGGGCUUAAAUGCAGGACGACAUCCCGUGAAAACGGGAUUUCUUCGGACGGCCUGCAAGGUGCUGCAUGGUUGUCGUCAGCUCGUGCCGUGAGGUGUCGGGUUAAGUCCCAUAACGAGCGCAACCCCUAUUCUUAGUUGCCAUCAGGUAAUGCUGGGAACUCUAAGGAAACUGCCUACGCAAGUAGUGAGGAAGGUGGGGAUGACGUCAAAUCAGCACGGCCCUUAUGUCCAGGGCGACACACGUGCUACAAUGGCCGAUACAGAGGGGAGCUAACUGGUGACAGUCUGCAAAUCUCGAAAGUCGGUCUCAGUUCGGAUCGGAGUCUGCAACUCGACUUCGUGAAGCUG